GAAAAAGCCCUUUUCAGGGCUACCGAAAAAUAUGUUGUCGAAUUCAU
rfam:Picea glauca, whole genome shotgun sequence.